UACAGCAUAUAUAUGUUUAAGAAUCAUUCUCCUUCAUUUUUACAAACAUUAAUUUAAAUGUAUGUCUUUACCAAUAUGAAACAUGUUAUUUCUCAUAGAAUUUUGAAGUAUCCUUUUUUUCCUUCUCUUUGAUAUUAAAAAUGGUUAGUAAGUUAAAGAAUGAAAUGGAAACCAUGCUUCUUAAAUGACCAUCCAAGCAUAACCAACAAAAUUAAAUCUGUAAAAAUAAAGUUUUAGAUAAACUUCAUUUAAAGGAGCAGAAAUUACUUUCUUUUUCAGUUGCAGAAGUCCUUAUAAGAGAGGGAUCCAAAUAGCUUUAUUAUUGCAUGCAGUGAGACAAUCAAAUGGCAGUAGGUGGAAUAAUCUAUAUUUUAGUCAGACUCUGGCUGAAAUAUAACUCAUAGUGUAAUGCAGUAUUGAGAAGUUAAUACAACUUAUAUGCAGGUAAUUUGCAAAGAGAAAAAGGAGCAAAUGGAAAAAUUAUUAAGCUUGAGAUGACCAUCUCACUUUAUUCAAAUCUCUGACUUCCUUUGUAUACACAGAGUUGUAUACAGACAUGACUAAUGUAUUGCUCAGAUAGGUUGUUAAGUCAGAUAUUCACCAGCCAUUGAUUUCCAUCCAUCUUUAAUUUAGAUUCCUGGACCAGCUUCUUGUACAUGGCCACUUUCCAGGAAUUCUGAACUCUGUAACAGACACGUAGCUAUAAAGUGGAGGGAUGGCAUGAUUUAGACAACAAAGACUAUGACUGCUGGCCCCUGGAAAAACCAGAUGAAUAUAACAUGAUGGACUGUGGAGGGAUGAUCGAACAGUGGAACAGUUUGCUCAGAGAAGUUGUGAUUUCUCCAUCCUUGUAGACAAGUAAAACUGAGUUGAGGAAGAUACUGAGCAACAUGCUGUAGGUAACUGUGUCUUGAGAGGAGUGGGAUUGGACUGGGUGAUUUCCAGAGAUAGAUACCUUCUAAUUUCAAUCAGUUUGUGAUCCUGUGAUUGUAACUAAUAAAGACUAUAUAACUUGUAUAAAGGAAUGCUUU
rnacentral:lncRNA from 1 species